UCUUACAUUAAUUGAAUGACAGAAGUUAUGAAUCUGAUAUGUCUUGAGCUCUGCCUGUCCCUUCAUGAACAUCGCAUGGUUUUCAGCUACAUCACCAUUUUAUGCAUAAGUGACAGUACAUGCUGUACCUCUGCAGCUGUGCAAAUGCUCUCGUGAUUUUGGCCUAGUAUGUGAUACCAGGGUAAGGUCAUAUAAAUGAACACUUUCAGUAGCAAAUUUAGUUGUUUAUGGAGAAAUCAAAAUAAGCUGUCUUACAACUCACACCUUCCACUUGUGUGUGAAUAAAAUUUGAUUUCAAGAUAUAUCAAACAUUCUGGCAAACUGAAGAUGUGAAAUAUGUUCAUUUCAAACAGAAAAAUACUUCUAUACAUAUAACAUAUAUGACAGACAACAUCCACAAAAUCUGAUUCAUGGAGACCAAAGGUGCGUAAGAAGGGUUUUAAUAUAGACUUUGUAUCAUAUAACUUUCAUAUAUCACCUACAUUAGUAUGAAAUAAAUUUUCUUUUUACAGAUAACCAUGUAAAUAUUAGCAUGAAAAAGACGGGACUUGUCUAUUUCUCUUUGAAAAAAGAAUGAAGCAGCCAAAAUGUUAAACAUUUUAGCAAUAAAUAUUUGAGCAAUAAUGCAAUACUAUGAUUGCCCACAUUAACUGAAGAAAAUUAUUGCAGAAGCUUCUAGAGCCAUUGAGGAAAUUAUAUAAUAUAACUGCAACCAGAAAAUGUCAUGAAAGUUCAACCAGUCCAGCCCUCAUCUCUGACAGAGGAUCAGCUUACCUCAAUAUCCCUUGGAAGCAUUGCAACCUGUUUUUUGAUUUAACUUUUAGUCAGGGAUGGAUCAAAAUAGCCUGAGCGCAAAAUGGAGAACAGAAUCCAGCUGAGACCUCAAGAGUGCUGAGCAGAACGUGUCAUCAUUGAAAUCCAUAUGAAUUAAUAAAGCAUAAAAAUUCACAUUUUU